rnacentral:rRNA from 1 species
CAAAAACAUCGCCUCUUGACCCCCUAUGAGAGGUCCAGCCUGCCCGGUGACAAUUUAACGGCCGCGGUACCCUAACCGUGCGAAGGUAGCAUAAUCACUUGUUCUUUAAAUGGGGACUAGUAUCAAUGGCAUCACGAGGGUUACACUGUCUCCUUUCUCCAAUCAGUGAAACUGAUCUCCCCGUGAAGAAGCGGGGAUUAAACUAUUAGACGAGAAGACCCCAUGGAGCUUUAAGCUCAACAACAACUCCUAUAAAAUAUUUCAUUAUAAAAUACGAUACCUGUUCGUUAGCUUUAGGUUGGGGUGACCGCGGAGUAUAAUUUAACCUCCACGGCGAACGGGCUUAAAACCCUUAUCUGAGAGCCACUGCUCUAAGAAUCAUCAAACUGACGCACAAUGAUCCGAUUUUCGAUCAACGAACCAAGUUACCCUGGGGAUAACAGCGCAAUCCAUUUCUAGAGCCCCUAUCGACAAAUGGGUUUACGACCUCGAUGUUGGAUCAGGGUAUCCUAGUGGUGCAGCCGCUACUAAAGGUUCGUUUGUUCAACGAUUAAAACCCUAC